rnacentral:rRNA from 1 species
GAUGAACGCUGGCGGCGUGCCUAAUACAUGCAAGUCGAGCGAACAGACGAGGAGCUUGCUCCUCUGACGUUAGCGGCGGACGGGUGAGUAACACGUGGAUAACCUACCUAUAAGACUGGGAUAACCUCGGGAAACCGGAGCUAAUACCGGAUAAUAUAUUGAACCGCAUGGUUCAAUAGUGAAAGACGGUUUUGCUGUCACUUAUAGAUGGAUCCGCGCCGCAUUAGCUAGUUGGUAAGGUAACGGCUUACCAAGGCAACGAUGCGUAGCCGACCUGAGAGGGUGAUCGGCCAAACGGGAACUGAAAAACGUUCAAAACUCCAAGGGAAGGAGGAAGAAGGAAAGCUUCCGCAAUGGGCGAAGGCCUGAGGGGGCAACGCGGGGGAGGGAUGAAGGUCUUCGGAUCGUAAAACUCUGUUAUUAGGGAAGAACAAAUGUGUAAGUAACUAUGCACGUCUUGACGGUACCUAAUCAGAAAGCCACGGCUAACUACGUG